rnacentral:rRNA from 1 species
UGGGGAAUAUUGGACAAUGGGCGCAAGCCUGAUCCAGCAAUGCCGCGUGGGUGAAGAAGGUCUUCGGAUCGUAAAGCCCUUUCGGCGGGGACGAUGAUGACGGUACCCGCAGAAGAAGCCCCGGCUAACUUCGUGCCAGCAGCCGCGGUAAUACGAAGGGGGCUAGCGUUACUCGGAAUUACUGGGCGUAAAGGGCGCGUAGGCGGCGCACCAAGUUAGGCGUGAAAGUCCUGGGCUCAACCUGGGAACUGCGCUUGAUACUGGUGUGCUUGAGGAUGGAAGAGGGUUGUGGAAUUCCCAGUGUAGAGGUGAAAUUCGUAGAUAUUGGGAAGAACACCGGUGGCGAAGGCGGCAACCUGGUCCAUUACUGACGCUGAGGCGCGACAGCGUGGGGAGCAAACAG